rnacentral:rRNA from 1 species
GUCUACAGCCAUACCACCCUGAACGAGCCCCAUUUCGUCUGAUCUCAGAAGCUAAGCAGGGUUGGGGUUGGUUAGUACUUGGAUGGGAGAUCAAAGCCAAUAAACUAAAGUAUGUAAAAAAUUGCUGUACUCC